GAGGGGAUAGCUCAGUGGUGCAGCAUGUGCUUAGUAUACACGAGGUCCUAGGUUCAAUCCCCAGUACCUCCA
rnacentral:tRNA from 1 species